UGUGGGAGGCAGACUCAAGGACUUGCACCAUUUAUUUUUCUGACAGAAGUGUUCUGCUUAUGUGCUGCUUAGUAAGUGUGAUUUUUCUAGUCUUGAUGAAACUUGCCUCGUGACAUUGUUGAGCGUAGUCUUCACUUUCCAGAAGAUGAAAUGAUGUGCCAUCAUUUUCUGUCUAAACUUCCUUUAAAGUAAUUUUUAAUCAGCUGUAAAUAUCAUAUCUCCUACUGUUGAAAGUAACUUUAAUUUACAUUGCACCAUAUAGCUUGAAAACCAACUUUGAAAUUCUGUACUCCUCCACAAGUGACCUCUGCUAAAAUACCCAUAGGAAGCUUACUUUGUGCAUGCUUGCUUUGUGUGCUGGUUGCUGUCUUAAGGUUUGCUUUGGUGUUAGGUCUCGUGUGCUGUGCCAAGUUCACUGGGCAAGCAGAUUUCCCUUCGGAGUCCAUCCUCUGUUUAGGGGGAAAUGAGACCAUUUACUCUGAAAAGCUGUGUUUAGGAGUGGAAGACACAGGCGUUAGCUUUUAUACUGAGUGAAGAGUGAUGCUUGCUCUGGAUGGUUUUUCUCUAUGGUCCACACUGAGGACUUUGUACCACGUGUGUAAAGGUAUUAAGUGUGGAAGCUCCUGCUGCCGUCAAGCAGGCUUUAAACAAACCACAGCUGAGACCCAGCACUGAGAGAUUCUACCAACAACUUAGGCUUGGUUCGGGCUUUACCAUUUUUGAAGUUUAGUCUUUCGCUUAUAUCUCUUGUGUUUUGGAAAUAAGGAUGUUUUAUGCUUCUUGAGCUAAUUUUAUAACAUAUUUAAUAUAUAAGCUGUUUAUAUGUAAAAUCUUUUGUACAGGGGUGGGAAGGAGUAAUGAAAAAACUGAUUUGUACAUAGUGAAUUAUAAAGCAGACCGAAGUCGGUGAAACAGUGAGUAACCUCAUUGUUUGCAGGCUCCCUGCAUCCCUCCAGAGUCCGCCAGAACACUGGUUAGUGUCUGUGUCUGUGGCUCCUGUCUGCAGAAAAGCAAAAUGAAAAGGAAGCACAAGUAAUAAGAAACGUGCCCGAGGUAUUUCCCUAGCAAGAGCUGCACAGCUAGUCCUGAGGGUUUUCAUCCACUUCUGAAAGGUCUGCCCACCAUGCUAUGCUUUGAGUGAGUAGGGAAGGAUGCUUGUUUUCACUUGUCCGUUAUGCAUUUAACCUUUAGGGCAGGACAUUACAAACUGACGACAGAUUGUGUCCAUGCUGUACCCCUGCUCCUGAACUUGGAUCUACUUGUUAAUGGUUUCAUGGAAGCAAUCAGCAAUAUGUGAUAUGAACUGCUGCAUUACUUAUUAUACUCGUGGAACUGAGAUAUUUAAACAGAGCUUAACUUUUUUUUUCUAGUGUAAAAUACUUAAGCGUUUCCACUAUUGGAAGAAAAGCAUAUAUGGGUAUUUUGUAUUGUAACUUGUUUAAAAGGACAGUCUUUUUUAAUCUUCCCACUUAAAUGCUUUUAAAAUAUGUAAUACAAUUUGAAGCUUGUUUAGAAAUAGAAUUAAAUGUCUUAUAUAGUGCUACUGUUUUGGAAUUAGAAAGUGAUCAAAUACAAAACAUUUUAAAAUUAAGCCCAGAAAACAAAAUAGUGUUUAAAGUUAGUUUAGUAUAAAAGAAAUUUAUAAGAUUUUUUCUUCAAUAUAAGAUACCUCACUUGAAAAUAAAGAAAGCACAGCACAUUAAAGUAAUUCUCAUGAGAACACCCCAUUAGAAUAAUUGCUAAAUCUAGGACACCUUUUGAGUUGUGAGUUUGUGAUACAUGUAGUCACCAUUAGCUUUUCUGCUGGAAGGACUUCCCGUAGUAAUUUUAAGGCAGUGUAAUAGUUCAAUUACCCCACAGUUUCUAACCUGGGAAGGCAGUAUGUGAAUGGUCCCUUCUGCAACUACGGAAACACAUUAGCUACAUUGAGCAUAACUCGAUUGAUAAUUUUGCCAGUGCAUAUAGUUUUAUGAUUAAAAUUGCUGUGGUUGGUUGCAUUACACGACACACAAAACUGUCCUCUACCUCACAUGAAAUAAAUAUUUUAUAUGGUUUUACUAAAAAAAAUGACUCAUCUAUCUGGUUACUUAGUUUACAAAUUUUGGAUUAUAUUUAUUGAAACAUGACAUACUGUGCUCUUAGCUUAUACCUCAAUCGUAUUUUGUGCUGUUUGCCAUUUUCAUGCCUUGUAUAUAACUUGUAUAGAUUGGAUGAUAUUCCCAAUAAACACUUUUAAUGCCAAUGAAGUUUGGUUC
rnacentral:lncRNA from 1 species